rnacentral:rRNA from 1 species
AAGGAGGUGAUCCAGCCGCAGCCCUUUCAGGCCAUAGUUGCGGCCAGCCAUGCGCAGCGUUUCCGACACACCAAGGAAACCGGCGUAGGUAUUGAGCGCCAACGCCCACAGCACCGAAUGCACCAGCACGAAGAUCAGGCUGUUGUCGCCCAGCCCGAACCACAGCAAGGCCAGUGGCAACAGCGCAAUGGCCGGUAACGGGUUGAACAUCGACGUCAGUGUACCUAGCAGGUCCCGGCCCAGCUGGGUCGAAACCGCCAGACUGGUCAGGCCAAAGGCCAGGACGAUACCCAGCACAUAGCCCUUGAGCAGUAUCACCAGCGAAACCCCGACUUUGGCGGGCAGUUCACCGCUGGCCAGGCCGUCCCACAGGGCGGCGGCGGUUUGCAAGAAGCCUGGCAGCAGCAGGUCGUUACCCUGAUAACGGGCUACGGCCUCCCACAGCAUCGCGAUUACCAGCAGGAUAACCGCCUUGCGCAGCCAGCCUUGCUGCCACAAGCGCUGCACCAAGGGGAGUUGGCGUUCUACAGGCACACUGAGCAGGGGCUCCAGCUGCACCUCGUAUUCCUGGCGUACAGGUGUAGUGGUCAUGGCUGAAGCUCCUGUCAGUAGGCGAUGCGGAUAUCGUUGAAGCCAAGGUCGUCUGCCUGUUCCGGGGUAUCCGCCUCGUCGAACAGCAAACGGUGAAUACGCCGGGCACUGGCCUGGAAGUCGCUACCACCCAGGCUGCCCAGGUUGUACUGGUGGCUGUGCACUUCGGCACGCACCCGCCCCGGGUGCGGCGACAACAGCAGGAUACGGUUGCCAACCACCAGUGCUUCUUCGAUGGAGUGGGUGACGAACAACAGGGUGAACCGCACCUCCUCCCACAGCAGCAACAGCUCUUCCUGCAUCUUGCGCCGGGUCAGCGCAUCCAGGGCGGCGAACGGCUCAUCCAUCAACAGGAUCUUGGGCUGGGUGGCCAAGGCCCGGGCAAUUGCCACACGUGCCUUCAUACCACCGGAUAACGUGUGUGGAUAAGCAUCGGCAAAGGCGGCCAGACCGACCUUUUCCAGAUAAUGCAGCGCCCGUUCCUCCGCCUCCGCCCGCUUGAGCUGGCCAGACACCAGCAGCGGAAACAUGACGUUCUGCUUCACCGUUUUCCACGGCGGCAACUGGUCGAACUCCUGAAACACCACGAUGCGGUCGGGGCCUGGGCCACGCACUGUCUGGCCCUGCAGCAGAAUCUGCCCUUCUUGCGGCUGGAUCACCUCCUU